GUGGCUGACAGUGUGUUCAUCUCUGUUCUCACCCAAAGUCAUGCAACACUCAGAGAAAACGCUGAUAGUGUGAGCCAAAGCACUCCAUAUGAAGAGGUUGUUCACACUGCUGGAUGUUUCUCCUCUGAAGCUGCUCUCUGCCUCAGUCAUUGUUUACUUCACUCAUGAAGCUCAUCAAGCACGUAGCAAGAUCCGAGCAUGAACCCGAGCGCUUUAUUCGCCUAUCAAAGGCAGACGGGUACGGUGAUUUCAUUCACCGCGACUCCAGAAAUGAUUAAAAAACUACAAAAUGACGUAUCCGCGCUCCC